CUUACUGCGCGCCGUGCAUAUGUUUUCCAAGCUGACACUAAUGUAUGAGUGAGUGAGCUUUUGUGGUAUAUCACUGAAUACAUCUUAUCACUUCAUACCGGCAGUCAUUCUGAUAACAUGUUUCUAUAUAAAUAAUUUUCUUAACAUAUGGAAAUUGUAUUUUCGGAAGAAUUAUUUGGAUAUUUGCCUAAAGUAAGUUUAUAGUUGUUCUUACACAUAUAUUUACACAAGUUUCAUUAUCCCUUCCUGUCUAGGCUUUUUAUAUACGCUUAUAUUUUCGUGCCUAUUUUCAUGCUUUUGUCUUUGUUUUUAUAUGCAGCUCUGUGCGUCGGUAUACAUUUAUACAUAGAACAGGCAGAAAGAGACUCUUACACAUGUGUAUAUAUAGACAUACACACACACGCAUACAUUCAAAAAUGUAUGUGUGAGUAAAUGUUUACGCACAUGCCCCCACUCUAUGUAUGAACACACACACACACACACAUAUAUAUAUAUAUAUAUAUAUUCUUUUACUUGCUUCAGCCGCUUGACUGUGACCAUGCUGGAGUACCACUUGUAGUCGAACAAAUCGACCCAGGACUUAUUCUUUGUAAGCCUAAUACUUAUCUUACCGGUCUCUUUUGCCGAAACACUAAGUUACGGGGACGCAAACACACUAACAUCAGUUAUCAAACAAUGAUGGACACACACACAUACAUGCAUACACACACACACAUGCAUACACACACACACACACACAUAUAUAUAUAUAUAUAUAUAUAUAUACACACACACACACAUGACGGGCUUCUUUCAGCUUCCGUCAACCAAAUCCACUCACAAGGCUUCGGUCGGCCCGAGGCAAGAGACACUUGCUAUGUGGUUGGUAAGCCAGCUACAUCAUUUUAUUGAAACUUUAAAAAAAACUUCAGUUUCACAUUUUUUCAGAAUGUCGUCACUAUUCAAAACAAUUAGUUUAAAAGUAUUUAUGUAUUCAAGAUAGCCAUCUCGUGAGUAGUGCGAACGGUUACGUGAAACUUUGUGUAUCAAUUCGUGAAGGUGUUUCUAAGCUUCAAUAAAACAUUUACUUUACCUUUUGUUUUGGAGUUCUAUUUUCUUCACCUUGUAUUGCACGUAUGUUCUCACGUGUGUGUGUGUGCAUGCGCGCGUGCGUGCGUGAAGGUCCGUGGUCGAGUGGUUAGUGUAUUGUGCUGACUAUCACAACGUGGUCAGACAGUCUGGUCGAUACAGGUGUGUGUGUGUAUACUGUUUGUUAUAGACGAAAACAAUCUUCACAAACUCUUACUCAGUUUACGUUAACGUUCGUCGGAUAGUUGUGAUCAUACUAAAAGAAAUUUGAGUAACAGUUUGCGAAGAUUUUUUUUUUCUUUAGCCUUUAAUGAAAUACCAUAUUACUCUACUUUUGGUAUUCGAGUACUAUUUUUUCCACCUUGUUUUGCAUUUAUGUGUGUAUGAGGGAAUGAGUGCGUGCGCGUGCAUGUAUCUAUCUAUCUAUCUAUUAUUAGGUAUCUAUAAAUUACCUUUGCAAUUUGAAAAAUUCAAGAAAAAUUGUAAAAUAAAGAUAAGCUUGUUUACCAACGUCAGGGUUCAGGGUUGAGUCCUACUGCGUGGCAUCUUGGGCCAGUGUCUUCUACUAUAGCCCUGGGCUGACCAAAGCUUGUGAGUGGAUUUGGUAGACGGAACCUGAAAAAAAAAAACCGUCGUGCUUGUGUCUGUAUCUGGCCUCCACCACCGCUUGACAACCGGUGCUGGUGUGUUUAUGUCCCUGUUAACUUAGCGGUUCGGCAAAAGAGACUGACAAUAAGUACCCAGGUUUUAUUAAUAAUUAAGCCUAUGAGUCGAUUUGUUCGACUAAAAAAUUUCCAAAUGUCCCAGCAUGAAACUAGUAAAAAAAAUAAAUAAAAGAUAAGCAAAUAAAAUUUUAUUAGAAAUAUUAGAAACUUUUAAUAAUUAUUUAACAUGCAAAGAAGUUGAUUGAUGGAUCUCAACUUUAAUAGGUACAAUAAAUUAUGGAAGUUGUAAAGACAAUUUAUGGACACCCUUUAUAUAUCAGCACGAGUAAGUGAUUAAGCGGAACAAAUAUAUUCAUUAUGUGGCCGUAAAUCAUUAAAACGCUUGCAACGCAAUGUAAUAAGGGACUGGAUUCGUGGGGGAAAAACAUCUUUCUUUGGUAAAUGCCUCUACACAAGCUCAGGUCGACUGUAGAUUUGUUACAAAAAAUUAAAUAGAUGGAACGUGAAGAAUUACGCCGAGUGGUCUAUACAUAGACGUAAUUUGAAAUGUCCGGCCUCGUCAUAUUGUGUCACGUAGAGUUAACUUGAAAAUUACAUAAAGUGUAAAUAUGUCUGUGGAAUUCGUUCUCGUGAGAAUUUGAACUCGGAACGUAGCGGCAGACGAAAUACCUAUUUCUUUACUACCCACAAGGGCUAAACACAGAGAGGACAAACAAGGACAGUCGCCAAUUCUUUCAGCACGUUGCCCAGUGUUUGCUCAGUGUCCAUUUCACACACAUGCACACAAUCUGCUCGUGUGUGUGUGUGCGCGCGCACGCACACACACACACACACACACAUUAUAAGCAUAAAAACGGUACUGUACGUGCGCGCGUAUAUAUAUAUAUACAUAUAUAUAUAUAUAUAUAUACACACACACACACACACACACACACAUACAUACAUUAUUAUGUGUAUGCGUGUAUAUUUGUACAAGAUAGCGCUAUCACCGACACGACUAUGGUGCUUUCACUGUUUAAAUACCUGAUUCUUUCGAAUCCUGAAAUUUUUUUAUACACACACACACACACACACACUUUAAACAAAAAUGAUCUAAGAAAAUGCAGUGUUGCUAGUUACAUAAAUUUUUACAAUAAAGGCGAAUAGUAGUUUAUAAAAUGUCAUUCAAACUUAUUUCUCGUUAGGUCUCCGAGGCGGUAACUCUAACACCGAGUGGUAACUACAACUGAAUCCAAAUGAGAAAAGGGACAACACAUAUAGACAUACAAAAAUAGAGAACAUUUCUGGCCGGUGGUAACUUGCCUAAUUAAAACAGAAAUAAGCGAGGAGAAAGAAAAACUGAGUUGGUAAGAUAUACAUACAUGCAUGCAUAUACAUGCUUUAGUGCAUUCAUUGAGAUUAUCAAGUUAGACAUUUGUUUCCCAUCGCAUCACCCGCGUUAUAGUACACGCUCAACCACUGUGAAAAAUAGGGAGAUUGUAGCAAAAUCCUUACGAAAUUUGCGGCUUAUGGAUUGAAUAAUAAGUAUGAAUAUAUACUAAUAACGAUGAGCAACCUUGCAUAAAUUGGGUUAAAUAAAGAGAAAAAUAUUAAAGGCAAAAAGGCUCGAAAGGUUUUCGUCAUUGCUUCAUGUCUUUACCACACUUGAACGAAUAUAGGUUCUUACUGUGCUUAAUCCUUGGGGAAAUUUAUUGAAUUUAUACCCGAGAACGCUCCUUUGGCAUUUUUGAGUCCUUUGCUACCAUGAAAAUCUAUAUGGAAAAAUUGUUUUCGGUAGUAAUGCCAGAAGCGAUCACAAUUAUGCCAGAACACGUUCAUUAGUCAAUUUUCUGUUGGGGCUUUGUGCAAAGAAAUGAUAUCACAAUACUUCAAACAAAAGACAUUGUUUAAUCCUGAAAUACUGAAGAGGUUCCCAUUGGCAGUUUAAUUGUGGCACAAAGGCCAUUAUCGACGGAAAAUGUGCCAAUAAUUGUUUCAAAAAGUCAUGUUUUUUGGUUAUUUUCUGUUGAUGAUUAGGGUUUCGUGCAUCACAAAUGCACUCAUAACACACCUUCUUCAUUGCUGCAUUUCUGACACCGAAAACGUUAAAAUUGGCAAUGUAGAUUAAAGCAAAUCCAAAUAUUGUCCGAAAAUGACCUCAAACUUGUGCGGCCCGAUUUCGUUUUCGAGUUUACUUUUGUAGUAAAACAGAGUUGUACAAAAACAUACUUCAUUUGAUAGCCGAAAGAUUACUGAAUCUUUUGAUACCUCAUACGUCAAAAUCGGUAACUCAGUUUUCGAAUCCAUAAGGAACAUGCGCACGCACACACACACACACACACACACACACACACACACACUAUGUUUUAUGUAUAUAGAUGUGACAUUUCUAAAAACAUGUGAAAAUGCAGGUACACUGUAGCUUUGUCAUCUACUGUGUCAUGCUGUUUCCUUAUGAGAAUAACACACACACACAAGUGUGUGUGUGUUAUACCAGGUCACUCUUGAGCGCUAAUAGUAACAUGUAACCCAGAAUAACCGUUGGCCGAGUCAUCGGUGACUAAACCGGUAACUCCACCAGUUGCUUGCCAGGAGAGGACAGUGAUUAAUUGAACACUAUGAUGAAAAACAACUUGUCAAAGGCCAUCCAAUAAUGUAUGCAUGUAUUCCGGGCAGGUAUAUAUAAACACACGAGGAAGUUCCUGGCUUUAAUGGUAUCGCGAAAGGCCUAGUUGGAGGCCCAAUCUUCCGAGUUCUUUUACAGAGCUUAGAAAACCUAAAAGACCACUGCAAUAAGUGUGUGAAUCUGAGAGGUGAACAUAAAAUCAUAAUUAACUAAUCCUCUUGUAUUUUUUUUUUACCGAAAGCCAGGGAUUUUUCAUCCCCCACCAUCGUAUAUGUAUAUGUAUGUGCGGCAGCCCUUAGCUGACAGCAGAUUUCAGUGGCGUAAAGUGGGCUUUGGUUGUCCCCUUCCUUAAAUGUAACAUAUUUUCGACUACAGCAAAUACAAGUAUAUAAAGUGUCCGUCAUUAUGUGGUCCGCUCACCCUGUAUAUCUCAUGCAUUAUCGCUGCUAGAUUUUAAGUACGUUUGAUUCCUUCCCUGUUUUCCUUAAUUUGUUUUAGUACAUCUUUGCUAUUUAUUUCCUAGUCUAUCGAUACUCCUAUUAUCUCUCUCUCUCUCUCUCUCUCUCUCUCUCUCUCUCUCUCUCUCUCUCUCUCUCUCUCUCUCUCUCUCUCUCUCUCUCUCUCUCUCUCACACACACACACACACACACACACACACACACACACACACACACACACACACACACACACACACACACACACUCGAAGAAGUGCUGGAAAGUUACUGGUUUUGGGUAAAAGAAAAUACAGGAGGUUCAACAUAUUCCCCUCUGAUUCACAUACUUAUUGCAGCAGUCCUUCAGUUUUCCCAUACCCGGUAAAAGAACUCGGAAGGGUGGGCCUCCAGCCAGGCCUUUCGUGACACCUUUAAAGCCAGGAACAUUUCGGCACCCUCUCAUAUAUAUAUAUAUAUAUAUAUAUAUAUAUAUAUAUAUAUAACCCGUUUUCCAUACAACAAUUACAUGAUGGUUAGAUUGAACAUGAACCUUACUCAGUGUUAAAGAAGUUUGGUUCGUAAAUAUGUAGAUUCAGGUUCAACCGUACUGCACGGCAUGUGUCUUCUGAGAGAGAUUUUUUUCUCUCUCUUGUCAACCAAAGCCUCGUAAGAGAAAUUUGAAAGACGGUAACUGUGAAUUGACUGUUCUUCAUUUUGGGCUGCACAUUUAAUCCAUCUUCUGAUUUUACACCACGACUUUGGAUUUGCCGUUGUUGGUGUUAUUAAGGUUCAUUCUGUUGUAAGCAUUUAGGCCUGCCCGCUGGUAUACACAUAACUGACCCUUCUGCCUUUCCGUCUCCACGUCUUCAGAAAAAGAUUGAGCGUCUCUUUUUUUUUUCUACUUAUAGAACAAUAUUGAUAACCCUUACACCAUCAACAACCUCAUUACCUAAACAGAAUAAAAUCAUUAUUUGUGGUGUAUGAUUCAGUGGGAGAAAGAUUAGGAAAAAUACUUUGAUGUAUAUCUUCACGCGUUCUAAAUUCAAAUUUUUCUUGAUUCCUUUUUUACAUUUAACUCUGCCGAUGUCGAUAAAAUAAGCUGCCUGUCAACAAUUGAAGGAUUAGUAGAAUCGUUAGAAUGCCUCACAGCAUUUUUUCCCGAUUUUUGAAGAUUUGUGAACAGUAGCAACGCUAACAGCAGACCCCAGUCUCCAGAGCACCACCGGUCACAAUUCCAGAGAUGGUGGAAGAAGUCACUUGGUGCCCAAUCCUUGAAAUCAACGACUCAGUACUUUGCCCCCCUUCCCCCUUAACAUAAACUGAAGAGCCUUAGUCUCGUCUUAUGACGAAAGGAAUAUGGAGCUGAAAAAGGUUUCCAAACUGUCGGAAGAGGAAAAAAAUUAUGAGCUUCAUCAAAUGAAUAUGAGUGAAUCCCAGCAGAAGAAAACUAAAAAGAGUGAGGAGGAGUUCCUCCUUAAGACGACGACGACGAAAGGACACAAAAUUCGCGGUCCUUCGAAAGAUGAACCCCUGAAGUGGCAGAUAUUGCCUUGAGAUGUUUAUCACAGAACUCUAAGCAGAGCCAGAAUACAGGACUUCAAAUGCCAGAGUUUUUUGUAAAAGCAAUCGCACAAUAUUGUCACAUACUGAAGUAGAAGUAUUCAGAGAAUAUGGGUUGCUUUUUGUCUCACCUCACGCAUAUGUUAACGUUACCUUUGGGUACACGAGACUCCAGCACAAACGGUAGCAAGCAUGGAGAAUACAGGAUGCUUUAAUUUGACAUAACCAGUGGAUUAUCACCCUUUGUGUUGGUUGACAACCCUAAAUGUCUUUCAGUAUGCUAUUAUUUAUUUAAUAUCCUCUUUUAUGUAUUAUUAUGUAUCCAUCUUUUAUAUGUAUUUGUUUACUUAUUUAUUUAUCAUAUGUCCUUAUUUAUACACAAAUUUUUUAAUUGUCUUCUUUGUAUAACGUCCCUGAUCCACACUGCUUAUUUGUACUAUCCAAUACGUUUUGUAAACCAUUAUUAUUAACGUUUCCUAUUCUGGGUGCAUAAAUGAAUUCAAUGAAAUUGCUCCCAGUGAGUUGGAAGAAUUGGAAGACAGUAUGAAUGAAUGAUUGCUUUACAGUAUUUCUUGCCACUGUUCACGUUCUGAAUUCAAAUCCCACCGGGGUUAAUUUUGCUAUUUAUCCUUUCAGAGUAGAUAAAAUAAAACACCAGUCAAAUACUGCGAAUGAUGUUAGCGCUAAACCCCUCCCCUCAAAUCUUUUGGACUUGUUCCUAAAUUGGAAACAAUUAGAGUAGCAGAAUCAUUAGAGCAUAGCAAAAAAUUUUGUGCCAUUUUCCCAACGCUUUGAAUUCUAAUAUCUCCAAGGUAAACUUUACCUUUCAUCCUUGCAGAGUCGAUAAAAUAAAGUACAAGUACCAAGAACGAUGUUAUCGAUUAAAAUCUCUGGUUUUGAGAUAAGUGGUUAAUCGAUAGCAAAAUCAAUUAUUAUUAGAAAUCCUUGUCAAAUUAAGAAAUCAUCAUUAUCAAAAGAUAUUGAAAUAAUUAUUGUUCGUAGUAAUAUUAUCCAGUUAAGGGACCACGUAUUCUACCAGAGUUCUUUUGUCAAGAACUCAACUAUCAGUUAAAUACAUUUUGGAAUCUUAUGACAAACGUAUGAACGUGCUAAUUGAACUUUAUGAACAUUACAAAAUAUUUUUUUUAAUGUUUAACACACUUCAACAUUGUAUUUUUUUAAAUACCAUAAUAAAAAACAUGAAAACCAGACGAUAUUUUAACUUUAUUCGACUCUCUCUCUCACACACACACACACAUAUGUAACAGUUUGACUCUACUCCAUGCAACUUAGUUUCGUAGGCUGGUAGACCAAACUUAACUCGUCAGGCAUCUAUAACAGGUUAUGAGACAUCCAAGAUCGCUUCCAGAUGUUAGGAAUGUAUUGGUUAACUCAGGUCUAGUGGUUUUAUAAGUCGGGAAACGACAUCACUAAUUUCCUAAAUGCCGGUUAAUUAAACCCUGUAAGAGCGAAAUAAGAAUAGUAAAUAAGUGUAUUCACGGUUCGCUAUUAGAAAAGCUGCGGGGCUGAUCCAAUGAGAUUGCAGCAUCGCAGUAAUCGAUUGGUUCAGAGGUAUCAAAAUAAAGCAGUCUGUAGGUUCACCCACUUCGAUAUCAUAGAUUUCUACUUUUCAGUGUCGAAAUCCUUGUCUCUGAAGGCUUUAGGCAAUUCAACCAUAUCAGCGAUAUUAGAAUUAUCAUGAAAGUCAAUAUUGGUUCACAAGGAUUCCUACUGGGUGAAGAAGGAAGGCGACCCAUUGGCGUCAGGAAACUCUUAGCUACGCUUCUUGAAACGUCUAGAUUGAAUGGCGGAUUGUACCAAAUUAUCAUUCUCUUUCUGACUCUCUUCAAGUUCGGGGGAGAAGUUGCGGUGUCCUCCAUAUAUACUAUCUUCGCACUGAAUUCACUACUCGCUAAUGCUUCCCUAUAACGCGGGGCAGCCCUAUUGAGGAUCUCUCUAUCCACUGAUAGUUAAGAGAUUCUUCUACUUAUGUCUAGGUUUCUACUUAUGACUAUGGGGAGCUAUGACGGGUACUUGGUCUGAGAUCGCUGACUUUGUCGGGUAUUCUCUCCGGGAUACUCUAAAGAAACGCACACACCUCCAUAACUCAGCCCUUUAUAGGGACGGCAGUUUCGCAAUCUCAAGCCACAUGAACGGCUAUACCAAGGACAAGUUCAGGAAGGAUUUAACAAAGAUCAUCAAAGAAUUUGGUCCAUCUAAAACAACCACCACCAACUUGACAUGGGUAGACUUCUUGGAUGUAACCCGCGACCUGAAAACGGACAAGUACUACUCUUACAGGAAGCCUUACGAGGAAACUCCAACCAUCCACCAGCUAUAGUUAGAAUCUUAGUCAUAAAUAGAAACCUAGGCAUAAGUAGAAGAAUCUCUUAACUAUCAGUGGAUAGAGAGAUCCUCAAUAGGGCUGCCCUGCAUUAUAGGGAAGCAUUAGCGAGUAGUGAAUUCAGUGAGAAGAUAGUAUAUAUGGAGGACACAACUUCACUCUCGAACCUGAAGAGAGUCAGAAAGAGAAAGAUAAUUUGGUACAAUCCGCCAUUCAAUCUAGACGUUUUAAGCAGCGUAGCUAGGAGUUUCCUGACGCCAAUGAAAAGCAUUUUCCUUGAACCUGUAAGUACACAAGAGCACGGUAGUUAAUCCCUUCCGCCUGUAUAAACUAUUGCUACCAUAUUGUACCACCAUAUCUAAUCUAACAUCAUCAAAUCUGGUUACUCUUUCAGAGAGAUAGUUGCCGCUUAGGUGUUAGUUUUUCACUAACCUGCGACAACUAUCGCUUUGCCAUGUGUAGUAUCAAAUGCAAUGAACUGAUGUCACUAAAGAAAUUAUACUGCCAUCUCCAGACUUAGCGGUGACGGGUACCUACCAACAUCCUGUCCGACUACGCGAAUAUAAAAACUUAAGAAAAAAAAUUGAUGUCACAUCCAGACGGACCAAUAAAACUUCGAGAACUGAGUUGACCAAUAGAGGCCCACCUUGAAUUUGUCUCGUAUCUGCUUUGUUGUCUGACAGUUUAGGUUCGUUCUACGAAACUAAACUGCGUGGAACUGGAUCAAACUAUUACUAAAUAGAUAUAUAUAACUCCAAAUACGUUGAAUGUCACUUCCUUUCGUCUGUGUGUGUAUGAUACAUACACACAAUAGUUGUACUAUUGUUUGGUCAAGUUAGCUUUGACUGAGCAAUCCUGUGAUCAAAAAAUUCCAUCUUUAAUCAACUCGUCUUUCCUAGGAGGGAAAGAUGUAAUGUGAGGCUACCAUUUGGCUAGUUGAGAUUAUGUUUUAAGUAUUUAGUUUGUAUGUAAUGCAAAAAUAUUUUAAUACUAAUUCAGUAAACUGUAGUGCACAUUGUGUAAUAGCCAACAAUUGAGUAACUUGAUAUACGUCUAUCGAAUAGCAAUGUUGUAUUCGUUUAAGCCAGUGUUUGUCAAACUGUGCCGCGGAAAGUAAUUUCGGGAUUUUCGAGAAACAACGAUCCAAGAACAUUUGCAUAGUUCGAGCGUAAAUAUAAAUUUAUAUAAAUCGUAAAAUAUGGUAAAUAUAAAUGACGUUACACGACGGACAGAACAUUUGCUAUAAUAUGUUACACUUCUCUUUGCGUUCUGAGUUCAAAUUCCGCCGAGGUCGACUUUGCCUUUCAUCUUUUCGGGAUCGAUAAAUUAAGUAUCAGUUACGUACUGGAGUCGAUCUAAUCUAUUGGCCCCUCCCAAAAAAUUUCGGCCCUUGUGCCUAGAGUAGAAAAAAUAUUACAUUUUUGCAUGUAAACCGGGAUUGUAAGUAAGUUGUAUAUUAGUCCAAGAAGAUUUAAUUUUUGAUUUAUUUAUAAUUUACAUGAAUUAUUUUACGUUAACUUCAAUCGAUUUUUAAUUUUAGAUUUAAACAUGGACGAAUUUUUAUUGACACCCCAGAAAAAUGAGAAAGAGAGUCAUAAAAAACGAGACGAACACCAGAAUAGAAAGUCCACCUCAUCAAAACGAAAAUGUAAUGAAAAUUACAUCCAAUAUGGUUUUAUAUUAUCGGAUAAAAGACAACUCGGUUCCCUUUUGUAUAAUUUAACAACACUCUCAAAUGAAGCGAUGGAUCCAAGUAAACUUCAGUGUCAUUUAAUAACAAAUUAUCCCAGCAGAAGGACAAACCUUCAAACAAAUUAAGACCAUUCCUUUGCCUGCACACAUGAUUUCUCGUAAAAUUCAAGACAUUUCGUGAGACAAUGAUGAUCAGCUUCGCCAAGAUUUCACUGAAGCAAAAAAUGAACUCGAAAACUUGUGGGCCUUACAACAUCAGUAACGAAGCUCAACUAAUUUCAUUUCUGUGAAUCAUCAGAGGUGGUAAAAUCAUAAAUCAGUUUUUCUUUCGUUGUGAAUUGAAGGAAAGAACGACAGGAAAAUAUGACUUUAACCUGGUAAACCAAAAUGUAUUGAGAGGGAUGCAGUGGAAAACUUGUAUUAGCGUUCGCCCUGAUGGCGCUCCAUCCAUGCACGAUCGAAAAAAUAGGCGUCGUGGCUCAUGUAUUAUAAAACAAACCUUCACAAGUUAAAAUUGUACAUUGCAUGAUUCACCCCGAACUUUUGGUGUCAAAAUCUCUACCAGCUGGUCUCCUGAAGACGAUGGACAACGUUGUGGUGAAUUACAUAAAAUCGCAUUCCCUACAGUGCAGACAAUUUGCAUCUCUAUGUGAGAGUAUAUUUUAUUACUUUGCGAACUGAAAUUUGUUUCUUCGAUGCUGAAAAUUCUGGAUUUGAAUUUCUUAACGAUGAUAAUUGUUGAAUUAAAGUGAAGUAAACAAUUUUGUGCUUGAGGGUGUGAAGCAUGUGGUUGUGUAAAAAGAGGUAGUUUGGAAAGAGUCUGUGUGUGUGUGUGUGUGUGUGUGUGUGUGUGUGCUUUGAGUGGAACUGAAUGCAAAAUAGGUAACAAAUUCCAAGAUGCUAAAAUUAAGAGGAUUCGUUAAAGUUAGUAAAAUCCCUUUUUAACCCAGAAAGCUAUGUUACAAUUUGUGAGACGUGGAAGCUCGUGAAUCAUGUGAUGUUUUCUUGCUGGCUAUCUUCUAUGUUUUGAAAUGGAGCUGAUGCUUCCCAGUUACGGUUCGUGGGGAAGCUUCUUCCUGGUGCGGUACGCAAGGUUCAAUGCAUGUACAGCCGGAUAUUUGAGAUAUACGAAGAACAGUUAGUUGUACCUGUGAAAUAAAUAUCAAGACAAAAGUUAAACAGAUCCCUAUUUCUUGCAUUAUAAAUAUUUAUUUCGGAACAACAUUCGAUUUGAAAAACAGAGGUAGACAGCAGUCAGACAGAGUUGGACAAAUGACUUGCGAUUAUUAAUUACGUCCCGAAUUCAAAUCCUGAUGUAGCGUCGUUACCUUUUAUCUCUCUGGAGCCGACAAAAUCAAUGCUUGGUUGAUUUAAUCAAUUGUUUUUUUAUUUUCCAAUAAAUUUCAUUCUUUGAACAAAUGUUAGAAAUCAAUAUUUACUUAAAAUAGUAUAUUAUUAUCUUGUGAACAUCAAAGAAAAUAACGUUAAGAAUUUAUACACGAGUGUCUAUUUCAACAGCAAUAGUGGCCAUGUGUUGCUUUUCAAACUAGAAUAUUAUUACUAUUUAAGUUCUAUUUUCAUUAAUUGUCUUAAAAACUCUUCUAAAAGAUAUUUAUUUCGCUGUAAAAAUUUAUUUAUUCUAACACUUUGCUUUUAUAAUUAAGAAACAUUAAAGAGAUUUACAUUGAAUUAUUUUAUCUAUAUUUAGAAGUGGACAGGACUGGAAACAAUACUAUGCUGUUGAUCGAACAUUAAAUGAAUAGCACUACUAUUCAGCUACGUUUUAGUUUCACAUUAGAUUUGCGAUAAUUUUAACCGCAGCGCAAAAUAUAGUCGCAUUUAUUUCGAGUAACGCUAUCUUACAUUCUUAGUUAUAUAAAUAUAUAUGUAAAAUUUUUACCUUGCUUGUUUAUUGAAAUGUGUGAAGAUAUCAGAUUUGUAUAGUAGUAAAUUGUAGUAAAUGAAUGGCCGGUAAGAAAAUCCACUAGAAAAUUUCUAUCCCGUGAAUCCCUUUUUAAUAUAAGAAAAAUCAAUAUACGCUUUCUAUCAGAGGCUGAAUGCGCUGUUUUCAGGGUAGGAAAUUGAAUCUAAUGAAACGGAACAGAAAAGAAUGAGACAAAGAUUUUCACAAUAAACGUCUUUAUAUC
rnacentral:lncRNA from 1 species